AUCAAAUAUAGCAUACAACGUUGUAAACGGGUUAUGUUCUCCAGUUCAUGAUAUAGAUGCUCCAGUUUAUAUAACCAUUGGAGAUGGUGGAAACUCUGAAGGAUUAGUAACUGAGAUGACUGAACCACAGCCAAAUUACUCGGCUUACCGUGAAGCCAGCUUUGGACACGGCACACUGGACAUAAAGAACAGAACUCAUGCCUACUUUGCUUGGCAUAGGAACCAAG
rnacentral:misc_RNA from 1 species